rnacentral:rRNA from 1 species
GAUGAACGCUGGCGGCGUGCUUAACACAUGCAAGUCGAACGGAAAGGCUCCUGCUUGCAGGGGUACUCGAGUGGCGAACGGGUGAGUAACACGUGGGUGAUCUGCCCUGCACUUCGGGAUAAGCCUGGGAAACUGGGUCUAAUACCGGAUAGGACCACAUUUUGGAUGGUGUGGUGGAAAGUUUUUCGGUGUGGGAUGAGCUCGCGGCCUAUCAGCUUGUUGGUGGGGUAAUGGCCUACCAAGGCGUCGACGGGUAGCCGGCCUGAGAGGGUGUACGGCCACAUUGGGACUGAGAUACGGCCCAGACUCCUACGGGAGGCAGCAGUGGGGAAUAUUGCACAAUGGGCGCAAGCCUGAUGCAGCGACGCCGCGUGGGGGGUGACGGCCUUCGGGUUGUAAACUCCUUUCGCUAGGGACGAAGCGCAAGUGACGGUACCUGGAGAAGAAGCACCGGCUAACUACGUG